rnacentral:rRNA from 1 species
AGAGCGCAAGGGGAAUGCCUUGGCAUCAGGAGCCGACGAAGGACGUGACAAGCUGCGAUAAGCUUCGGGGAGGAGCAAAUAUCCUAUGAUCCGGAGAUUUCCGAAUGGGGAAACCCACUGGGGCAAUACUCCAGUAACGUGCAUUGAAUCAAAUAGGUGUACGUGGGGAACCGCCUGAACUGAAACAUCUAAGUAGGGCGAGGAAAAGACAUCAACCGAGAUUCCGCAAGUAGUGGCGAGCGAACGCGGAAGAGGCCAAACCGGAGGAUUUAUUCUCCGGGGUUGCGGACAGCUAUACGGAACAAUAGUUUAGCCGAACGGUCUGGGAAGGCCGGUCACAGAGGGUGAGAACCCCGUAGGCGAAAGACGAAUUGUUUCAGGCUGGAUCCAGAGUACCGCAGGACACGUGAAACCCUGUGGGAAACAGGGGGGACCACCCUCCAAGCCUAAAUACUACCUGAUGACCGAUAGAGGAGCAGUACCGUGAGGGAAAGGUGAAAAGGACCCCGGGAGGGGAGUGAAAGAGAACCUGAAACCUUGUGCUUACAAGCAGUCAGAGCACGUUAAAGUGUGAUGGCGUACUUUUUGUAGAACGGUCCGGCGAGUUAUAGUAACGAGCAAGCUUAAGGUAUUCAGUACCGAAGGCGCAGCGAGAGCGAGUCUGAAUAGGGCGUAUAAAGUUCGUUGCCAUAGACCCGAAACCGGGUGACCUAUCCAUGAGCAGGCUGAAGUGGAGGUAAAACUCCAUGGAGGGCCGAACCGACCCCCGUUGCAAUGGUGGCGGAUGACUUGUGGAUAGCGGAGAAAUUCCAAUCGAACUCGGAGAUAGCUGGUUCUCCCCGAAAUAGCUUUAGGGCUAGCGUUAGUUUAGAUUACCGGAGGUAAAGCACUGAAUGGUUUAGGGGCUGAUAAAGUUACCGACGCCUAUCAAACUCUGAAUGCCGGAUAAUUGAUGACUAGCAGUCAGACAGUGUGAGAUAAGUUUCAUUGUCAAAAGGGAAACAGCCCAGACCUACAGCUAAGGUCCCAAAUGUAUGCUAAGUGGAAAACGAUGUGGAAUUGCGAAAACAACCAGGAUGUUGGCUUAGAAGCAGCCACACAUUAAAAGAGUGCGUAAUAGCUCACUGGUCGAGUGACUCUGCGCGGAAAAUGUAACGGGGCUAAGCAUACAACCGAAGCUUAGGAUUGUCUAAAGACAGUGGUAGGGGAGCGUUCUGUAUGGGGUGAAGUCGCAGCGAGAGCAGCGGUGGACUGUACAGAAGUGAGAAUGCCGGAAUGAGUAGCGAGAAUUAUGUGGGAAUCAUAAUGGCCGAAAAUCUAAGGUUUCUUGGGGAAGGUUCGUCCGCCCAAGGUAAGUCGGGAGCUAAGCUCAGGCCGCGAGGCGUAGGCGAUGCACAUACGGUAGAAAUUCCGUAACCACCGAACUUUAAGCAUGAGGGACACUUUGAGAUAGCGGAACCCGGGCGUUGGUUGACCCGGGCGAAAGGGACCGAAAUAUAGUAGGGAAGUCCGCGAUGCUUGGAGGCGAGAAAAGCUCAUGUGUAUACUAAGGUGCCCGUACCGCAAACCGACACAGGUAGAUGAGGAGAGAAUCCUAAGGCCAACGGGAGAAGGGUUGUUAAGGAACUCGGCAAAUUGACCCCGUAACUUCGGAAGAAGGGGAGCCUCGAAAGAGGCCGCAGUGAAUAGGCCCAAGCAACUGUUUACCAAAAACACAGGUUUAUGCUAAAUCGAAAGAUGACGUAUAUGAGCUGACGCCUGCCCGGUGCCGGAAGGUUAAGAGGAGAUGUCAACCGCAAGGUGAAGCAUUGAAUUGAAGCCCCGGUAAACGGCGGCCGUAACUAUAACGGUCCUAAGGUAGCGAAAUUCCUUGUCAGGUAAGUUCUGACCCGCACGAAAGGCGUAAUGAUUUGGGCACUGUCUCAACAGCCCGCCCGGCGAAAUUGUAGUACUGGUGAAGAUGCCAGUUACCCGCAACUAGACGGAAAGACCCCAUGGAGCUUUACUGCAGCUUAAUACUGGAAUUCGGUAAAUCAUGUACAGGAUAGGUGGGAGACUAGGAAGCAUUGGCGUCAGCCAGUGUGGAGUCGCUGGUGGGAUACCACUCUUGAUUUGCUGGGUUUCUAACCUGCGGCCGUGAAUCCGGUCGGGGGACACUGUUAGGCGGGCAGUUUGACUGGGGCGGUCGCCUCCAAAAAGGUAACGGAGGCGCUCAAAGGUUCGUUCAGCACGGACGGAAAUCGUGCAUUGA